GCUAUCGGGACUGAUUCAUGGGCCAUCCGGCAAGAAGACAUCCCCCCAGUUUACUCAGGGUCAUACUUUAACUAGGUUCAUGGGCCAUCUGGCAAUAAGACAUCCCCCCCAGUUUACUCAGGGCCAUACUUUAACUAGAUGUCCUCCAGACCCUGAUAAGCCCCUGACUUUUAGCACGUACUCUUCUUCUUCUUUGUAACCUCACUGCUAUGUUUAAAUGAGCCAAUUGUGUGUGACCGUGCCAAAAUCCCCUAGCUUUCCCUAUAUAAACCCCUGACUUUUGAGUUUCGGGGUCGACUCCCCUGUCUCUUGCGUGAGAUAUGUGUCGGCCCAAAGCUUCGUUGUUAUUAAACGGCCUCUUGCUUUUACAUCAAGACCGGUCUCUCGUGUUUCCUGGGGCACGCCAUCCCGCGACUUGAGCGAGGGUCUUUCAGUGGAAUGGUUAAGUGUUUCAGUAUUAGAGGAAACUUGUGGAACUGGUACCAAUUCACCAAGGUGGAUACAUUGUCCUAAGAGAAUAAAGAAUACCUCACCAUUGUCAAUAGGCUCCAUUGAGAAAGAUACCUUCUUACUUCUGCUACAAUCCUAGCAAUAAUGCAAGCCCUGAACUCCUCCCUAGAAAACAGUAGGAAGGACAAAUUGGAGCUGGAGUUACAGAGGUGUGUGUUGUCCCUGGGUCCUGGAAUCUGAACUCCAGCCGCCAUGAUUAAACAGCAAGCCCUUUAACCACUGAUCCAUCUCUGGGUCCUUGAGCAGCUCCGUGGUCUACUCUCAAAAGUGUGGAGAGGUUUUCACAAAAAUGUGAGAAAAAGUAUUGUUUGCUUUUUCCACUGAAAAUAUCAACAAACUCUAUGUGAGCCAGGGGUACAUACACUAAGCAAGUGUUCCACAACUGUACUAGUCUGACCUCUACGUUGUCUCAUUUCUGGGGUUUCCAGUCUCUCACCCAGCUUCAGGCAAAGCCUGACCACUCACCAUCAGCCCACCUGCUUUCCAGAGAGCUGACUGAGGCAGCAAGGGAGGCAGAAGGUCUGCAGUGCACUUUCAAGAGGUAGAUGUGGUGCUGAGCUCCGUGUUCACU
rnacentral:sRNA from 1 species